CGAGCCACGUGGCGUGAUGGACUUCAUUGAGUGGUCUAGGGAUUUGAUCCGGCCUGAUGGAGGACCGCCGAGGUGGUUCUCGCCGGCGGAGUGCGGGUUGUCACGUGACGUGGAGGCUCCUCCGCUGCUCUUCUUCUUGCCCGGUAUUGAUGGCGUUGGUUUUGGUCUUAUUAGGCAUCAUCAAAGAUUGGGAAAGAUAUUUGAUGUUUGGUGCUUGCAUAUUCCGGUUAUGGAUAGGACACCAUUUGAAGACCUAGUAGAGUAUGUAGAAAGGACAGUUAAAUCAGAAAAAUCUUGCUUGCCAAAGAAGCCAAUAUAUCUUGUUGGUGAAUCACUUGGCGCAUGUAUUGCUCUAGCUGUUGCAGCACGGAACCCUGAUGUUGACUUUGUACUUGUACUGGCAAAUCCAGCGACGUCCUUCUACAACUCUCAUCUUCAAUCUCUCUCAGCUUUCUUGGAUGUUGUCCCUGAACCACUCCAUGUUACCAUUCCAUAUUUCCUUAGUUUUAUCACAGGUAAUUCAAUGAGGAUGUCAUUGUCGAAUGUGGAUGACAAGCUUUCACUUCAACAAGCUAUUGCAGCAUUGCCGUCAAGCUUUUCUCAAAUGCUUCCUUGUCUCACUUUUUUGGCUGAUAUUUUGCCAAAAGAAUCUCUUUUCUGGAAACUGACGAUGCUAAGGGUAGCAUCAUCUUUUGCCAAUUCGCGCCUGCAUGCUGUGAAAGCCCAGACACUGAUCCUUGCUGGUGGAAGGGACCAGUUGUUACCUAGCCGUGAAGAAGCUGAAAGGCUUUGUAAUGCUUUGCCAAAUUGCAGAAUCCGACAUUUUCAAGAUAGCGGUCAUAACCUUUUACUGGAGAAGGAAACGGGGAGGAGGAUUGGGACUGGCAUCAGACGUGAUGGUCUUUGGUACUUGGACAGGGAGACUGCAAUGAUUGCCACUGCUGUUAGCGGAGGCCCAGAGGCAGAAGCGAUGCUUCAACAUUGUCAGUUAGGGCAUUUAUCUUUUAAGAGUUUGAAUAGAUUAGAACCUGAGUUAAUGAAGAAAGUGGAUAGAAAAGAGUUAUUUUGCAAUGCCUGUGAACUUGGAAAACAUACUCGUUCUACUUAUAGAAUGAUUGGUCUUCGAAGUUGUGAACCAUUUGCACUUGUCCAUUCUGAUGUUUGGGGACCAUGUCCUACUACCUCUAUUAGUGGUUUUAGAUGGUUUGUUACUUUCAUUGAUUGUUAUUCACGUAUGGUCUGGAUAUACAUGAUGAAACAGAAAUCUGAGGUUUACAAAUGUUUUCAAGACUUCUCGGCCUAUGUGAAGACACAGUUUGGAAUGCAGGUGAAUAUUCUCCGAACAGAUAAUGAGACUGAGUAUGUCAACAAGGAGUUUGCAGCUUUCAUUUCUAAUCAGGAAAUCAUUCAUCAAACUAUUUGUCCAGACACCCCUGCUCAGAAUGGGGUAGCUGAACGUAAGAACAGGCAUCUACUGGAAGUGGCUCGCUCAUUGAUGUUGACAAUGAAUGUGCCUAAGUUUUUAUGGAGUGAGGCUGUCAUGACGACAGCUUAUUUGAUCAAUAGGAUGCCAUCAAGAGUAUUAGGGAUGAAGACACCGUGUUAGAUGCUCUUGGGCUCGAAUGUUUUUGUUGUUCCACCAAGAGUGUUUGGAUGCACAUGUUAUGUGAGAGAUCACAGAUUGAUGGUGAGUAAACUGGAUCCGCAAGCAGUUAAAUGUAUCUUUGUUGGCUACUCAUCAAGCCAAAAUGGAUACAAGUGUUGGUGUCCCACUGAAAAAAGAUUGUUUGUCAGUAUGGAUGUGACUUUUCGGGAGUUUGAACCGUUUUAUGGGGAGAAGACGGAGUUGAGUUCCUUGUUUGGAGAUGACUCGACUAAGGCUAGUAGAGAGGGGGAGAAUGAGAAUGAAAAUGAGAAUGAGAAUGACGUCGUGGUUGGGAUGAUUCCAUGUCCUCUUGAGCGAUCGAGCAGUGAUGGUACACCAUCGAGUAGUGAUGGCGACUCAGGAAGUGACAGUCAAGGUCAGGGGGAGCUGAGAGUAUACACGAGGAGACAGAAACAACAACAUGAGCCGCCUCCUGUGCCUAUGCCAGUGCCCAUAAAUGUUGAUGUCCCAUGUCCCUCCUCUCCAGUGACUUCUCCACCUAAAUCGAAAGGUAACGAGUUCUUCCCUGAUAAUUCUAAUACUCCCGUCUUACCCCGUAGAACCUCCAGAGUCAAUGCUGGAAAACCUCCAGCUAAGUUUGAUAGUUGGGAUACUGACAUUGCGAAUUACAUUUCAUAUGCAUCCAUUCCACCUGCAUAUAAGUCAUUCAUUGCAUCAUUGCAUUCAGUGCCUGUACCUAACAACUGGCAGGUCGCUAAGCAAGACCCUAGGUGGUUGAGUGCCAUGCAAGAGAAACUUCGGGCUUUGAAGAAGAAUGAUACUUGGGAGCUGGUACCUCUGCCAACUGGGAAGCGUGCUGUUGGAUGUAAGUGGGUGUAUACGGUUAAGCAAACUCCAGAGGGCAAGAUUGACAGAUACAAAGCCAAAUUGGUUGCUAAAGGUUACAGUCAAACGUAUGGCAUUGACUAUGACGAGACAUUUGCUCCAGUAGCAAAGAUGAGCACUGUUAGAGUGUUGGUGUCAUGUGCUGUCAACUUCAAUUGGUCACUACAUCAGCUAGAUGUCAAGAAUGCAUUUUUGCAUGGAGAUCUCCAGGAGGAGGUGUAUAUGGAGAUUCCACCAGGCUUCGCUACUUCUCAAGUAGCUGGAAAGGUGUGCAAGUUGAAGAAGUCUUUGUAUGGGUUAAAACAGUCUCCGAGAGCAUGGUUUGACAAAUU